rnacentral:rRNA from 1 species
UACGUAGGGGGCAAGCGUUGUCCGGAUUUAUUGGGCGUAAAGAGCGUGUAGGCGGCCAGACAGGUCCGUUGUGAAAACUCGAGGCUCAACCUCGAGACGCCGGUGGAAACCAUCAGGCUAGAGUCCGGAAGAGGAGAGUGGAAUUCCUGGUGUAGCGGUGAAAUGCGCAGAUAUCUGGAGGAACACCGGUGGCGAAGGCGGCAUCCUGGACCGGCAUUGACGCUGAGUGAGCGAAAGCCAGGGGAGCAAAGCGGG